CACGCUCCACGCGAAUUAGAAAUAAUUUGAAUCAGAGGCCAUCCAACUGAAUCAGUGAUGAAACACCAGUAACUAUGGUUGAUAGGAAUAUCGGCAGUUAGUUACACAAUAGGUGU
rnacentral:sRNA from 1 species